rnacentral:rRNA from 1 species
CCUACGGGGGGCAGCAGUGGGGAAUAUUGGGCAAUGGGCGCAAGCCUGACCCAGCAACGCCGCGUGAAGGAAGAAGGCUCUCGGGUUGUAAACUUCUUUUAUCAGGGACGAAGCAAGUGACGGUACCUGAUGAAUAAGCCACGGCUAACUGCGGGCCAGUAGACGCGGUAAUACGUAGGUGGCAAGCGUUAUCCGGAUUUACUGGGUGUAAAGGGCGUGUAGGCGGGAAAGCAAGUCAGAUGUUAAAACCAUGGGCUUAACCUGUGCCCUGCAUUUGAAACUGUUUUUCUUGAGUACUGGAGAGGCAGACGGAAUUCCGAGUGUAGCGGUGAAAUGCGUAGAUAUUAGGAGGAACACCAGUGGCGAAGGCGGUCUGGUGGACAGCAACUGACGCUGAGGCGCGAAAGCGUGGGGAGCAAACAGGAUUAGAUACCCUUGUAGUC